GAGAAAACUUUACAAUGCGAGAAAUCGUGAUAAGGGAACCCCGAGUGCCCGUAAAUUCGGGCUGUCCAUCAGUGUAAAUAACUGGUGAAGAAAGGGCCGGGCAAGACCGGUGCCAGCCGCCGCGGUAAUACCGGCGGCUCGAGUGGUGGCCGCUAUUACUGGGCUUAAAGCGUCCGUAGCUGGGUUGUUAAGUCUCCUGGGAAAUCUACCGGCUCAACCGAUGGGCGUUCAGGAGAUACUGGCAACCUAGGGACCGGGAGAGGUGAGGGGUACUCCAGGGGUAGGAGUGAAAUCCUGUAAUCCUUGGGGGACCACCUGUGGCGAAGGCGUCUCACCAG
rnacentral:rRNA from 1 species